ensembl:lncRNA HDAC2-AS2 HDAC2 and HS3ST5 antisense RNA 2
AGAGAGUAGCUGUGGUCUCCUGCGUGCUCACCCUCUGCUCCCUUGGUCCUGCUCCAUGCUUUGGUCCUGCACUUAAAUUUUACAAGCAUACUCUCUUUCUCUUAAGGUAGCCACUCCCAGUCAAGGACUGUAUGAGUUGCCCAGAGCAAGACCUUUUAGGAUAUGGUACAUAGCUGGGAGCCUGCCAACUCCUGAUUUUGUCAUUACCCUCAGAACUCCAGAAUGUAAGCUCCAUGAAGGAGAUUUGGGCAUGUGGAGAAUAAUGGGACAGGAGAUGACGGUAAUGAAUUAAAACAGAAUGGAAUGGAAUGGAAAGCCUAGCGCAGGGCUUGGUUUGGAAGGAGACGGUCCAGUAUUAUAGCAGGAAAAAGGAAGACUCUCAUCUUUGCCUCGGUGACAAAGCUAUAGGAUGCACCUCCAACAAAACAAUUCUUACAUGGAAUCCUAGAGUCUUUGGAACGUGGUUUGAACACCACCAGCUUUGAGAAGGAAG